rnacentral:lncRNA from 1 species
GGGACCAUCAGCUGACAAGGCUCCCUGCCUCCUUCCAGCUCCACUUGCCCUCUCUGUCCAGCCCGUGCCUGUUAAGCUAGAUGUCUGGCCAUGUUCCCGUACACUUGCUGGAACUCAGAGAAGGUGGUCUUAGGAUUACACCAAAUCGGUAGUGUCGGAACCCUACCCUGGAAUUGGGGCUCAGUAAUGGGCUUGAUUCCUGAGGACGAAGACUCUCGUCCAAGAGUCCUCAGGCGCUGGGCAUAGUCUCAUCCAAGUGUCUUCAGGCGCUCUCAUCCAGGAAUCCUCAGGCUCUGGGUGUAGUGAAGCCAAGCAGGAUUAUCUGCCUGACCACCUGCUGAGCCCCACCUGGUUUAGGAGUCUGCGGUUUCCAUGGUGAUGAUAAAUCCACCUCCCCUGCUGCCUCUCCCACCCUGGGCAUUUCCUCUCACCCUGCAGUUAGGAUGCACUCAAAGGGGCAUGGAGCCCUGAGGGGAGGGAGCUGGCUGUACAAUUGGCCUUGAAGUCAGACAGGGCCUGGGGACUCUGAGUUUAGGGCCUUCAAUCCGAGGCGUUAGGCAGCAACUUCCUGGGGAGAUGAGGGGUGAGCCCAAGAGCAGAUGGGUGAGAAAACAGCAUGGCUUGGAGGGUCCUGAGGCUCACUUGCUCAGUGCUGUGGCCCUAUCAGACAGAGCCGCCUUUGAAGGUAACCCGAUCACCACUGUGUCCCAACAGGCUUGCCAACAUGCCUUUUCUGUGAUUUUUUUGCCUUGGACAUUUGUGUUUUGCUGUUACAAACAAAGCUGUUUUGAAUAAGCUGUCCAUUUUUCCUGGGGCCUAUGUGUGAGAAUUGCUCAAGAUUAAAUUACUGGACAGCAAAAUUACCCUAAACUUUGAAAUAAAGCAAAAAGAUCACUGUGUUAUCAUUGUUUUAUUUUAAAAUAGCAUUCUAAGAGCACUUUCAUUAAGCCCACAGGGGGUCAUCUAACACUCUCAGGGAUAUACCAUUGUUAACGAUCACAUUUAUAAAUAAGCUUUAUAAAGCUCUGUAACUCAGUACAGUCAGAGAUUAUCUUCUAGAAAAAUGAUAAAUUGUGAUAAUUUUUGUACUUAGUAAAGAUAACCCCAAAAGUGAUUUAUUGCCCG